rnacentral:lncRNA from 1 species
GUCACGUAGCAGAAAUGUUAAGAGUGAGUCGCAAUUUAAACAGUUAAUUACGUAGAAAAAUGGCUGCCACGGUGGUCCAGACAAUAUCCACGUGAUGCUCGUUGUGAUACGAUAAUAGGCCCAUGCUGUGCCACGUCAUUAAGCUAGCUGUCUCCUUUUUUUCUUUUUUUCUUUUUUUUUGAUCAACAAGCUAGCUGUCUCCAGUUCCUCAUUUCAGGAUAUUUCUCAUGCUGUGAUAGUACAGAUCUUCGUGGUUUCCUAGCCGUCGGAUAUACAAAAACCAACGGUUCGGAGAGUUUUAUAUAUAAAUUAUUUUUUGCCAAAGGUUCUAUUUUUGGUUGAGAAAGUAUGAAAGAAUGUAUCAUGUAUGUAUAACUAUUGCAUUAAUGCAACUAUUGAAGACCCUCAAUAUUAUAAGUUGAAACGUGUAUCAUUUGACAAGUGGAGCAAUUAGCUAGGUUUACCUAUUUAUUUUGAGAGGGUGUACAAAAAACUUCUUUAGAAUGCCUUUAGUCAAGAAAAAAUACUAUUUAUUUUGAGU